GCUCUACGAAAUUUAAUAUCGACAAACUCUGACAUCACGGAAAUAAAGUAUGUUUCGCGUGCUUUGCGCGAUAAGCUGCGUGACAAUAACAAGAACACUAAGACGGCUAUCUUUAAAACGAGGAACGGGGAAUGGGGGAAGGGAACGGGGAAGGGAACGGGGAAGGGAACGGGGAAGGGAACGGGGAAGGGAACGGGGAAGGGAACGGGGAAGGGAACGGGGAAGGGAAUGAGCGGGGAAUGGCCGGGGAAUGAGCGGGGAAUGGCCGGGGAAUGAGCGGGGAAUGGCCGGGGAAUGAGCGGGGAAUGGUCGGGGAAUGGUCGGGGAAUGGCCGGGGAAUGGCCGAAAUCGGGAAAAAAACUAACAUUUUGAAGAUUUUUGAUUAAAUAUUUUCAUGAAUUGUUUUCGUUGCGUUAUGGCAAAUGUAGCAUUGAAGUAAAUCGAAAUUACAGUAAUAGGAUUAGGCGACCGAAGCUAUGUUGUUUGUGUAAAUGUCGUCAAGUUCGUUUCGUUUCGUUGCGUUAUGGCAAGUAAUCAGCCGGACCGCACAUUGUAAGUAUAUACAACGCAAGACAAUAGACCUUGUUAUAUAGUUUUUGUCAAAGUUCAAUUUCUCUGUUCGACGAUUGAUCAAAACCGUAUCACGUAACAAUAGAGAGGUUUAAGAUACCCCGAAAGCACCACUGCCAAUUUCUUCAACAUGUUCUAGUGAUUCCCAACUAAAUGUGGGUAAACAGUGAUCUAUUUUUCGCCUUUUUAUUAGUGAAGGAAAUUUAAAGCUUCCCUGUACUCCAGAC